rnacentral:rRNA from 1 species
GCGCGAAAACUUCGCACUGUGCGAAAGCACGACGAGGGGAUCCCAAGUGCUGGCUCGUUAGAGUCAGCUGUUUCUCUGUCUAAAAAACAGAGAGAGUAAGGGCUGGGUAAGACGGGUGCCAGCCGCCGCGGUAAUACCUGCAGCCCAAGUGGUGGUCUGUAUUAUUGGGCCUAAAACGUCCGUAGCCGGUUCUGUAAAUGCCUGGGUAAAUUGUGUAGCUUAACUAUACGACUUCCGGGUAGACUGCAGAACUUGAGAUCGGGAGAAGCUAGAGGUACUCCUGGGGUAGAGGUGAAAUUCUGUAAUCCUAGGGGGACCACCAGUGGCGAAGGCGUCUAGCUAGAACGAGUCUGACGGUCAGGGACGAAGCCCUGGGGCGCAAACGGGAUUAGAUACCCCGGUAGUCCAGGGUGUAAACGCUGUUCGCUUGAUGUUAGCUGGGCUUCGAGCCCAGCUAGUGUCGGAGAGAAGUUGUUAAGCGAACUGCCUGGGAAGUACGGUCGCAAGACUGAAACUUAAAGGAAUUGGCGGGGG